rnacentral:rRNA from 1 species
UACGGAGGGUGCGAGCGUUGUCCGGAAUCAUUGGGCGUAAAGGGCGCGUAGGUGGCGGCUUAAGCGUGCGGUGAAAGCUCGGGGCUCAACCCCGAGUCGGCCGUGCGAACUGAGUCGCUUGAGCACUGUAGAGGCAGGCGGAAUUCCGGGUGUAGCGGUGGAAUGCGUAGAGAUCCGGAAGAACACCGGUGGCGAAGGCGGCCUGCUGGGCAGUAGCUGACACUGAGGCGCGACAGCGUGGGAGCAACAGG